CGCUGCAUUCAAAAGCGGGAAAACUACCUUUACGGCUUUGUNNNAGAGUUUGGAUCAUGGCUCAGGAUGAACGCUAGCGGGAGGCCUAACACAUGCAAGCCGAGCGGUAGAGAUCUUUCGGGAUCUUGAGAGCGGCGUACGGGUGCGGAACACGUGUGCAACCUGCCUUUAUCUGGGGGAUAGCCUUUCGAAAGGAAGAUUAAUACCCCAUAAUAUACUGGAUGGCAUCAUUCGGUAUUGAAAACUCCGGUGGAUAGAGAUGGGCACGCGCAAGAUUAGAUAGUUGGUGAGGUAACGGCUCACCAAGUCUGCGAUCUUUAGGGGGCCUGAGAGGGUGAUCCCCCACACUGGUACUGAGACACGGACCAGACUCCUACGGGAGGCAGCAGUGAGGAAUAUUGGACAAUGGGUGAGAGCCUGAUCCAGCCAUCCCGCGUGAAGGACGACGGCCCUAUGGGUUGUAAACUUCUUUUGUAUAGGGAUAAACCUACCCUCGUGAGGGUAGCUGAAGGUACUAUACGAAUAAGCACCGGCUAACUCCGUGCCAGCAGCCGCGGUAAUACGGAGGGUGCAAGCGUUAUCCGGAUUUAUUGGGUUUAAAGGGUCCGUAGGCGGAUCUGUAAGUCAGUGGUGAAAUCUCACAGCUUAACUGUGAAACUGCCAUUGAUACUGCAGGUCUUGAGUGUUGUUGAAGUAGCUGGAAUAAGUAGUGUAGCGGUGAAAUGCAUAGAUAUUACUUAGAACACCAAUUGCGAAGGCAGGUUACUAAGCAACAACUGACGCUGAUGGACGAAAGCGUGGGGAGCGAACAGGAUUAGAUACCCUGGUAGUCCACGCCGUAAACGAUGCUAACUCGUUUUUGGAGCGCAAGCUUCAGAGACUAAGCGAAAGUGAUAAGUUAGCCACCUGGGGAGUACGAACGCAAGUUUGAAACUCAAAGGAAUUGACGGGGGCCCGCACAAGCGGUGGAUUAUGUGGUUUAAUUCGAUGAUACGCGAGGAACCUUACCAAGGCUUAAAUGGGAAAUGACAGGUUUAGAAAUAGACUUUUCUUCGGACAUUUUUCAAGGUGCUGCAUGGUUGUCGUCAGCUCGUGCCGUGAGGUGUUAGGUUAAGUCCUGCAACGAGCGCAACCCCUGUCACUAGUUGCCAUCAUUAAGUUGGGGACUCUAGUGAGACUGCCUACGCAAGUAGAGAGGAAGGUGGGGAUGACGUCAAAUCAUCACGGCCCUUACGCCUUGGGCCACACACGUAAUACAAUGGCCGGUACAGAGGGCAGCUACACUGCGAAGUGAUGCAAAUCUCGAAAGCCGGUCUCAGUUCGGAUUGGAGUCUGCAACUCGACUCUAUGAAGCUGGAAUCGCUAGUAAUCGCGCAUC
rnacentral:rRNA from 1 species